CCUCAGUCAGUAUUAGCCUCCUUAAAAUGUGUCCCCCUUGAACAGUGUAGUUGAAUAGCCCUGCUGUAAGGUUUUUACCAUCA